AUUCAAAUAAGGAAACUUAGAGUCCUUAUUGGAAUAGGACUCUUCUCCCUAUGCCAACCCAGAUUGCACGCCAUAUAUCUCCACACACAAAAUUAUUUUCUAUGAGAUUUUUUUCACACCAAAGAGUUAUUUUCUUUAUCUAUCUCACAUCUAAAUCUAAUUUAGUUUUGAUAAAAGAAAGAUUCAAAAAUUAGAUUUUAAAAUAUUUCUUAUCAGGAGAAUCUAUUCUCA
rnacentral:lncRNA from 1 species